rnacentral:misc_RNA from 1 species
GCUCUUCGAGACAAAGCUAGUUGUUUCAGGCUUUUGACAGAAAAGCACGACAUUGCUCACAUUGCUUCCAGUGUUUUUUAAGCCAGCUCGGGUGCUGGCUUUU